rnacentral:snoRNA from 1 species
GAUCUGUUAUGAUGAUACCCCUUUUUUUCAAGCAUAGUUCACACUGAAUCAUGACAUGUUGAUGCUCAAUCAUCUAAGUCUUUCGCUCCUAUCUGAUUCAUUUC